GGCAACCCUGACGGAGCACGCCGCGUGUGGGAGGACGGCCUUCGGGUUGUAAACCACUUUUCUCAGGGAAGAAGGACUGACGGUACCUGAGGAAUAAGCCUCGGCUAACUCCGUGCCAGCAGCCGCGGUAAGACGGAGGAGGCAAGCGUUAUCCGGAAUUAUUGGGCGUAAAGCGUCCGCAGGGGGCGCAUCAAGUCUGCUGUUAAAGGUCGGAGCUAAACUCCGGUAGAGCAGUGGAAACUGGUGCGCUAGAGGGCGACAGGGGUAGAGGGAAUUCCCAGUGUAGCGGUGAAAUGCGUAGAGAUUGGGAAGAACACCGGUGGCGAAAGCGCUCUACUGGGUCGCACCUGACCCUCAGGGACGAAAGCUAAGGUAGCG
rnacentral:rRNA from 1 species